AACAAACCGCGCGCUGCAGCUGGCCCGGCAGGGAGGGGCGCGCGGUUCCGGCGCCCCCGGCACAGUGGCCGCCUGUGGCGGACCGAGCGGACCGGGGAGACGUGGUUUGGGACCUUGUGUUGUUCUCCCUGGUGGCCUAGGACGGGCUCUGGAUAAAGCAGGUGCUUGGAUCCCAGGAAAAUUCCCCAAAGGUGAGAUUUUUCCGAAGUCACAGACUUCUGGGAUGCAUUUUAUGGGGGAACUUUUCGACUGUUGAAAGAAUGCAGGCUAUCACAACAGCAGCUCAACAAAUGAACAGCAGCUCUCUGGUGAGUUGUUUUAUGAUAUGGGGUGAAAUAUAGAACAAAAGCUGUCAGGUACUGAAUUUCUUGUGGCUUUGUAUUAAAGUGUUCUUAAUGACAUUUCUCCUGUUAUCCCUUGGUAAAAGCGACGUGCUUUAAAUUCCAUCUGUGGUAGCUGGAUCAACUGUGGUGUCAUUUAAGAGACGUGGGGUGUGUCCACACAGUACAUGCUCUCAAUUCGUACAGAAUGUUCAGUGAAUUAGAAGAAUUUUCCCGCCUCCACUAAUUCGGAACAAUUAAAACCGAUUCAGGUUCUAAAGAAUUUUAGCUUCAAGUUCUUGGGGAUUUGGCUUCGGGAAUGACAAAGAUCUCAUUGCAAUUUAGUAAUUUAAGUGUAGGAGUUUCCCUCAUUUCAUUCUGCUUCGGUCGGGUCCGUAGUUUUUAUUAUAGCUACUAUUUAGGAAACCUAUUACGUUUCGGACACAGGGCUGGAUGCUUCCCAUGCAUUCUUAACCUAGCAAUCAUCCCAAAAUAGAAGUGUUUUUAUCUUCACUUUACAGAUGGGACAACUGAGUGUGGUCAUACAGCUUAGGAAGUGACAGAACUAGGAUUUGAACUUAAAUCUGUCUGACUCGAUGGCCUAUGGUUUUCCCAUUCUGCUGGAAGCUUUAAGGAACUUUGGAUAUUGUCUCAUAUGCUGGUUUUCAAUCUGGGUUCCUAGGGGCUCUAGGUGUUUAAGGAGGUACUUCAGGAACGUUGGCAGUGUGUAGAAAUGGGCCAGGUCAGUUGGGUUUGGGCUCCACUCAUUGGAUUCAAGCAAAGAAACAUCAUUUUCGUCUGUUCUAUAGAGUGACUUAAGAUUUUGUUUGAGACGAGGGUUUUUCUACUAAAAAAUAUUUUA